rnacentral:tRNA from 1 species
ACCUGGCUGGCCCAGUUGGUAGAGCACGAGACUCUUGAUCUCGGGCUUGUGAGUUUGAGCCCCAUGCUGGGCG